UACCAGCACCCCGAGUGGUCGGGACGUUUAUUGGGCCUAAAGCAUCCGUAGCCGGUUCUACAAGUCUUCCUGUAAAUCCAACUGCUUAACAGGUGGGCUGCGGAAGAUACUAUAGAGCUAGGAGGCGGGAGAGGCAAGCGGUACUCGAUGGGUAGGGGUAAAAUCCGUUGAUCCAUUGAAGACCACCAGUGGCGAAGGCGGCUUGCCAGAACGCGCUCGACGGUGAGGGAUGAAAGCUGG
rnacentral:rRNA from 1 species